CCCGCGACAGGACGGAAAGACCCCGUGGAGCUUUACUGCAGGCUGACAUUGGACUUUGGGAUCACUCGUACAGGAUAGGUGGGAGGCUAGGAAUCAUAUGCGCCAGCAUAUGAGGAGCCGGCGUUGGGAUACCACUCUUGUGAUACUAGAGUUCUAACCUGAUACCAUGAAACUGGUAUAGGGACACUGUCAGUUGGGCAGUUUGACUGGGGCGGUCGCCUCCAAAAGAGUAACGGAGGCGCUCAAAGGUUUCCUCAGCACGGUUGGAAAUCGUGCGAAGAGUGUAAAGGCAGAAGGAAGCUUGACUGCGAGAAAGACAAUUCGAGCAGGAACGAAAGUUGGACUUAGUGAUCCGGUGGUACCGAGUGGAAGGGCCAUCGCUCAACGGAUAAAAGCUACCCCGGGGAUAACAGGCUUAUCUCCCCCAAGAGUUCACAUCGACGGGGAGGUUUGGCACCUCGAUGUCGGCUCGUCUCAUCCUGGGGCUGAAGCAGGUCCCAAGGGUUGGGCUGUUCGCCCAUUAAAGAGGCACGCGAGCUGGGUUCAGAACGUCGUGAGACAGUUCGGUCCCUAUCCGUCGUGGGCGUAGGAAAUUUGAGAGGAGCUGUCCUUAGUACGAGAGGACCGGGAUGGACAAACCUCUGGUGAAUCAGUUGUACUGCCAAGUGCAAAGCUGAGUAGCUNNNNNNNNNNAAGUUUGGAAGGGAUAAGAGCUGAAGGCAUCUAAGCACGAAGCCCCCCUCAAGAUGAGAUUUCCCAUCGCAAGAAUAAGGCACCAGAAAGACAAUCUGGUAGAUAGGCCAAGAGUGUAAGGUCAGCAAUGAUUUAAGCUAAGUGGUACUAAUAUGCCGAAGACUUGACCUAAG
rnacentral:rRNA from 1 species